rnacentral:rRNA from 1 species
AAAGAAACUAACAAGGAUUCCCCUAGUAACGGCGAGUGAAGCGGGAAGAGCACAAAUUUAAAAUCUACCUGGUUUCCAGGUCGAGUUGUAAUUUGAAGAUACGUUUUUGACGUUCYGGGUUGGACUAAAUCCUUUGGGAUAAGGUAUCAUAGAGGGUGAGAAUCCCGUAUAUACCAACCGUAGGGAUGUUAUUAAAUACGUUUCUAAGAGUCGAGUUGUUUGGGAAUGCAGCUCUAAAUGGGUGGUAAAUUUCACCUAAUGCUAAAUAUAAGCGAGAGACCGAUAGCGAACAAGUACAGUGAUGGAAAGAUGAAAAGAACUUUGAAAAGAGAGUUAAAUAGUACGUGAAAUUGUUGAAAGGGAAACGAUUGAAGUCAGUCAUGCCGGUGGGAAUCAACUUAGGGGAAACUCUGGGUGCACUUCUUCGCUUGGCAGGUCAACGUCGAUUUUGAAUGUCAUAAAAUAAUUGGGGGAAGGUAGCUCCUUCGGGAGUGUUAUAGCCCUUGGUAGAUGUGAUGUUUGGGGUCGAGGAUUGCAACGGAUACCCUUCGGGGCUARCCGCCUGAUCUCUAAUUGGUGUUGGGUUACGGAUAGCAUGCUGACCGUGAUCUAAUUACUGGUUAAAAGGUUAGAGUGUGCAUAAAUUCSUUAAGGA